GCCUACGGCCAUACCACGUAGAACACACCGGUUCUCGUCCGAUCACCGAAGUUAAGCAACGUCGGGCCUGGUUAGUACUUGGAUGGGUGACCGCCUGGGAACACCGGGUGCUGUAGGCA
rnacentral:rRNA from 1 species